ensembl:lncRNA
UGGGAUGGCAUGAACACGUCCCUGGAUCUUUGAUUUCUUGUUAAGUAAAAGUGGGCCCCUAAAAUCAAGGCAGAUGUUUUCACUGCCUGUCACCAAAGCAGAGGAGGGCAGCUGCUUAAGAUCAGUGAGGACACCACUGUGGGGUCUUCCCUCCAUUAGUCUCACCCUUGGAGCCCGGUCAUUCUAUCCUGAAGAGAAUGAACGUGCCCCGUGGGACAGCCCCUCAGGAGCCCCCACUGGCCCCUGUGGACAACCUGAGACCCCCGAGAGGAGACUGACCACUCCCUGCUGGCCCUGCCCUCCCAGGCCUGGGGGUCUCCGCCUUCUUUGUUCUGAGCUGGAGGAGGGAGGGGCUACUCUUCUCACAGAGGACCCUUGGCCCCUGGCCCAUGCUGGGUGUCCAAGGGAGGUAGGAAGCAGCCCUUCUAGGUGCCUCUGUCCACUUCGCCGGCACAGCUGUCCCGAGCCCAGGAACGGGCUCUUUCCUCUACUUACAGACUGAGGGAAAGCUCCUGCUUCCGAGGCAGGAGUCACAGCACCUGUGGAAGCAGACUCGCUGAGGGAGACCUUGAGUGACAGCCAUUCCAGCCUCAGCUUCCCUGGUGGUAAAAGAAGGGUGAGUUGGAGGCUUCUGAGUUAAUCUCGGCCAUCCAAUGUCCUGCCUGGUCUGGCGCUGGGGCACCCAGCCAGUGAGGCACGUCCCUGUCGUCGGGCUGCUCCAGUCGGAGGCUGGAGGCUGGGUGAGGGGCGGUGGUCGGGGUGGUGGAGGGGAGCCUCAAGCUGGACCUGCCACAGGCUUCUCUGGCUACACUGCUGGUUUCCUCAUGUGUCCCUCCCUUGGGAAAUGAGAGCGAGCCUCCAGGCCAGCUUCCAGCUGAGGGGCUCCCUGGAGUCCAUGGGUGUCCCACUGGUCAGCAAAGGGAGUGAGAAGCUUCCUCCCACUCAGCUGUCAGCCAGGAAGGGAGGGGACGCAUUCUGGACGCUUCAGGGGCAGGAUGAAAAAUACAGCCUCUGAGACUGGACAGCUCAAGGUGGAGGACAGGUGCAAGCGCUCUUCCAUCAGCUCCCAGAUGACCUGGCGUUGCUUCAUUUUCUCUCUGCUUACUCGAGAGGCAAGGCUCUUGCCUGGGAUGGUUCCUAUAGUCAAGCGAGUCAGUGGAUCGGCUUCAAGGGAGCUGUCUGUUUGCCCAGCUGCUGCUCGUUUUCCACAGCAGCUCUCGUGCACCGUCCCUUCAUUUCCUACAGAUGAGGAAACUGAAGCACAGGUAUGGAGGAAUCACCAUGAGUCUACCACAGGACACAGUCCCACGGGCAAAACCCACCAACGGAUGCUAAAACGAGGGGUGAACGGCUAAGGCACAGAGCAAGGAGUGGCAGGGCUAAGAUCUGACUCCAAUUCCUGCAGUCUUCACCACCACAUCUGGACUGUUCUAUUUUUUUCUAUGGGACCUAGUAGUAAAAUUUGGACCAACAGGUCGAAACUACAGGGAGAUAUAUUUCAAGUCAAUAUAAACAGUGUCUUUCUAUUUCCACUAUUCACAAAUAGAAUUGGCACA